AUGGAAAACUUGUUAGGGUUGUUCUUAGCAUCCCAAAUUCAACAAUGCGUAUGUCCCAACACCCUUGAUGCUUGCAACUUUUGGACCUCCUCCAAAGCCCCCAUGGAUCCUCUACAGGUGUUUGAUAAAAAGCAUCUGAAGAGUUUUGUGUCUUGGAGCAACACUAUCUCUAGUCAUCAAUUAACCUUUAAACACUCGAUAAAAGUGGACAAUCUUGAGAUCAAAGUUAAUCGAAAUGCACAAACACAAGUCAAAGAAAUCAUCCUUAAUUGA